rnacentral:rRNA from 1 species
AAAGGAAUUGACGGGGGCCCGCACAAGCGGUGGAUCAUGUGGUUUAAUUCGAAGCAACGCGAAGAACCUUACCUGGAUUUGACAUCCUUGGACAGCUACAGAGAUGUAGUUUUCGUAGCAAUACGACCAAGAGACAGGUGCUGCAUGGCUGUCGUCAGCUCGUGUGGUGACAUGUUGGGUUAAGUCCCGCAACGAGCGCAACCCUUGUUCUUAGUUGCCAGCAUUUAGUUGGGCACUCUAAGAAGACUGCCGUGGUUAACACGGAGGAAGGUGGGGAUGACGUCAAGUCCUCAUGGCCUUUAUAUCCAGGGCGACACACGUGAUACAAUGGACGGUACAGAGGGAAGCGAAGCCGCGAGGUGAAGCCAAUCUCAAAAAGCCGUUCUCAGUUCGGAUUGGAGUCUGCAACUCGACUCCAUGAAGUUGGAAUCGCUAGUAAUCGCGGAUCAGCACGCCGCGGUGAAUACGUUCCCGGGCCUUGUACACACCGCCCGU